UUUCCGUAGGUGAACCUGCGGAAGGAUCAUUACAGAGUUCAUGCCCUCACGGGUAGAUCUCCCACCCUUGAAUAUUUAUACCUUAGUUGCUUUGGCAGGCCGUGGAAACACCAUGGGCUCCGGCUAAUGCGUGCCUGCCAGAGGAAACAAACUCUGUUUUUAGUGAUGUCUGAGUACUAUAUAAUAGUUAAAACUUUCAACAACGGAUCUCUUGGUUCUG
rnacentral:misc_RNA from 1 species